CUCUGACCUGACACAACGUCCUGCAGCGAUGUUGUGCGACCUGCAGUGUCAUCUGUCAGAG
rfam:Colletotrichum sublineola strain TX430BB Scaffolds0885.1, whole genome shotgun sequence.